GACGAACGCUGGCGGCGUGCUUAACACAUGCAAGUCGAACGGAAAGGCCCUGCUUUUGUGGGGUGCUCGAGUGGCGAACGGGUGAGUAACACGUGAGUAACCUGCCCUUGACUUUGGGAUAACUUCAGGAAACUGGGGCUAAUACCGGAUAGGAGCUCCUGCUGCAUGGUGGGGGUUGGAAAGUUUCGGCGGUUGGGGAUGGACUCGCGGCUUAUCCGCUUGUUGGUGGGGUAGUGGCUUACCAAGGCUUUGACGGGUAGCCGGCCUGAGAGGGUGACCGGCCACAUUGGGACUGAGAGACGGCCCAGACUCCUACGGGACGCAGCAGUGGGGAAUAUUGCACAAUGGGCGGAAGCCUGAUGCAGCAACGCCGCGUGCGGGAUGACGGCCUUCGGGUUGUAAACCGCUUUCGCCUGUGACGAAGCGUGAGUGACGGUAAUGGGUAAAGAAGCACCGGCUAACUACGUG
rnacentral:rRNA from 1 species